rnacentral:lncRNA from 1 species
UCAAGCAGUGAGUCUUAUGAUGUUUGUCUCCCAGCUGUCGAUGAUCCUUAUUGCAUGGCCCAUAUGGGUGAGGGACACUCUGUUUCUUUCGUUGUGCCUGAAGAUGGUGAUAUGAAAGGAAUGAUUUUGUGUGUUAUCUAUUUAUCAACUCCUAAGAUCAUUGAACCUCAAUUUACUACUGUCGUAAUUGUUAAUUACACAAAGUGUACAUUCCAUAUACACAAUCAUGGCACAGCAAUUUCCUUUAAAGAUGAAGAUUGGCAUGACAUAAUGUCAAAUUUAGAAUGUGGAGACAAUGUGGAGAUAUUUGUGAACUUUGGUAAUGGAUUGGUGGUCAAGAACACAACGGUGUAUCUGAUAUGGGGUGAAGCAGAGAACAUGGAAAAAGUGUCUGAGCCAAAAAAACAGUCUCUCAUUAGAUUCAUAAAGAAAGUUGUAAUGUGACUUCUGAUAAGUCAUUUAUGUUUUUUUGAGAACAGCAUUAUCAUUUAGUGAUAGAAAUAAAUAAUCAUAUUGUCACAUCAAGAAUCAUCACUAAUUUCUCUUAAAAGAAAAAAAGGAUAUGCUUUAUGAAAUAAAGGCAGCUGUUGACACAUAUAUGAGACAACAUUUUGACACAUAUGUUGACACAAAAUAAUGGAAUUUUUAUUCGAAUAAGAAUAAUUUAUUCACUCUUAAAAAAAUUAAGUCAAGAAUUCGGGUAGAAUCAUACAAAUUUUCAUUGAAGUGUUUCAGAUAUGGUAAAUAACAAAAAAAAUAAAAAAUAAUGUAAUUUUCUUUAAACAAGGUAACAAUUUUCUUUAAAAAUAAGAAUAUAGAUUAAUAACAUCAAACUCUCAAAACAAUAAAAAUAAAAAAUAAAAUAAAACUAUAUAUUUCAAGUGUGAUUUUAUGAUAAAUGCAUAUGACGACGUAUUCUUUUUAGUCCAAUUAUUUUUUUAAACUUGUGGUAUUGUUUCUUUAGUGUGCUUUUAAAAUAAUUAAAUUGUAAUAUAUUAAAAAAUUACUGAUAUGUUUUAAAAUAUAAAUUAGUGCAAAAACGUUUUUUAACGUCACAUGGUAGACGUCGGUUACGGGCAUUUGCGACGCAUAUUGAUGACCGGUGGCAAUUCCGUAAAUAAGUUGGCAAUAUAGGCGUAGGUUAGGUCCAUCUUCUACGUCUAUAGAAUUUUAGAAGGCCCUUCAAACCUGACGUCUAUAUUUCUAACCGCUAGGUAAAAAGUCAUUUCCAUCAGCCUUAUAGACGUCGGUUCGUUUGGGACACCGACGUCGAAAUGGCAGAAAUUAAUGUUGCUCACCUACUUAUCAGACAUAUAGACGUCAGUCCCCUUCUAACUGACGCCUAUAAGUUUGUCAAGCAGGUGAAUAGUCACUGUUUUCAGCCUUAUAGGAGUCGAAGCCCACCACAUUGAAGGGGCCCCGACGUCUACAUGGCGAAAAUUAAUGCUCCCCACCAACCUGUCAGACAUAUAGACGUCGGUCUCGUUGUAACUGACGCCUAUAUGUCUACCGGACAGGUGAAUAGUUACUUUUUUUGAGAGCUCCUGUUGUAGCUGUCAGUGUUCACAGCUCCUGUUGUAAUAUUGAGAGAUUCCAUUUCUGGUCUCACGGCUUCGAACUCCUUUUCAUCCUCUUCCAUUUGUAACAAUAAAUACUGUCUGUUGGGACACUUAUGAUUGAAAGAAAAUUUCUCAUCACAAAAAUAACAAAGACCCUUCUCUCGUCGUAGUUGCAUUUUCGUAGGACUGAUUUUCUUCACAUUGGAAUUUCGAAAAUUAGGUCCUGAAGGGGUGGGUAAUAAUGGAGGUAGAGGCUGGGAAGUGUAAGGAGGUUUCGGAGGGGUUCUGAGAGCAUUAUUCUGAUUAGAAUUGAAGGUGAUGUUGGAAUAUCUAUGGCCCUGUGGUGGAGUUCGAGCAAUAGCAACAGGGGCAUAUUUUUCCUCAAAUAAUUUAGCCAGUGACACAGCUCUCAAUAAAUUGGUAGGACUCUGAGCUACCACAUCUCGUCUAAUAUCUUUGUUCAAUCCACUUAAAAAGCAAUUUAAAAGAACUUCAGAAGUUAACCCAUCAGAGCGAUUGGCUAAACUCAUGAAUUUCAAAUAAUAAUCAGCAACUGUACCAGUUUGUGUCAAUUUGAACAACUCAGCCAUAGGGUUAUCAAACGGGGAAGGACCAAAUUGUGAUUCCAAAGCAUAAAUUCCAAGACUGGAAGACAUUCUCCUUUUGCAACAUCUGAAACCAUGGAAUGACAUCCUUCUCAAAAUGCAUCGCAUCUAUUUCCACCCUCUCCAAAUCUGGAGUAUUGUGGUAAUUGAAGAAUUUUUCUACCUUAAAGAUCCAUUAUAACACAGGCGUUUGACCAUCGAAGUGAGGAAAACCCAGCGAUAUGUCGCAAACAGGCAUCGCUACAGGGAACACCCCUGAAUUUGCAAACUGUGAUCCAUUCUUUGAGCUCGUAUCACCAACGUGCUGAGUUUGAAUCUUGAUUAAAUGAUCAAUGGCUAUCUGGAUUUGAUUCAUGCGCUGCUCUGUUUUGUCAAUCAGUUCUUGAUUCAACUUAUCUCUAUCAUUUUGCUUUUCCAUCCAGCUCACCAACGAAGUAACCUAUGUCUGUAAAUCCUUUAAACGUGUGUUCUCAGUCAUUGGAGUCAACGAAAGCACCAAUGUAACAGUAAUGAAACAAUACUAUGAUAGGAAAAUUUAGAAGGGAAUGAAUCUUAUUAAUAGGAAUAAGUGUCUAUGUCAUCCACACUAUAACAAGAAGUUCCAGGAUUCUGUAAAAGAAAAAAAUAACAAAUAGAAUCCCAAAAACACUAGUUGCUGCAUAAACAGAGCAUCAUCCUACAUAGCAAAAAGGGAUAAGGUCAGAGAGCAUAAAGAGUAGUGAGGAAAUUUCUGGAAGAGAGAGAAUACAGAGAGAAACUUGCCACAUUCCACACACGCCUCCUCACUAACGCAUGAAUCCUUUUAUAAGGGAAUUUUCCUUAUGCAUCCUAGUGUUGCGUCUGCUUUCCACUUUAUGUUGAUCAAGCUCCACGUGUCCCUGAUCAAGCUCCACGUGUCCUUCAUUCCUAACAGCCUGUGCCUCACUCCCAUCAUGCUUUAGCUCACGUGUUACAGUUAAGGUUCAGUUACUCUUCUAAAAGUAAAAAACUAGAAAAAGGUAAAAAAGGGUAAAAAAGUUAAAGAGAAAGAUUAUUUCUGUAAAUAAAAAAAAAAUGUAGAAAAUUGGGGGAGGUGGAGGAAGAAAAUGGGGAGGUGGAGGAAACAACCCCCGGAAAAAUUUCUUAAAAACCAACAUCAGCUCCAGCCGUCUCUAAUUUAUAAGAUAUACCCAUAAAAAGCCAGUGUUCAUAUCGCAAUAUUAUAAUGGAAAAAUGUGUUUUUUAUUGACCAAGAGAUCAUUGGGAGAAAAUUUCUCUACAACACUUCUAAGAAAGAAAAUCAAGAUUAACUUUAGUUUAUGAUAUUGAGUUGAUUUUCUUCCUCAAUAUUUCUUACGACAGAAAACUAAAAAAAAUAUUUUGUUUUAUAAACUACAAUUAUCUUAUGCAUAAGUUGAUUUAUAAAAAAACUUAUAUAAUUAACUUAAUACAUAUAUUUUGGUUCUUAUUUUUGUUAAUUUUAUUCAAAGUCAUCUUAAGUUCUUUUACAUUUAAAAUGGUUUUUUAAUUUGUAAAAUUUAUUCAUUUGCAUCGUUUUCGCUUAAAUAGCUAACUUUGUAAUGUCAUCUCAACCAAUAUUAAAUGAAUGAUGAGUUUUGAAUAUAGGUGACAAGGGCAACGGUAUGAGGUAGUGCAAAAGUCCAACAAAAAUUUGAUAAAAAUUCAAAUGUGAUGAUGUAUGUGUUAACAUUGUAUUUAGCAAUUUAUGAAUUCUCCUUCUCUGUCUUGCAGUAUUAGUUUCUCUUUCUAACUAUUCAUCACCUCUUAUCAAUUCCUUUCCAUGGAUAACGCCUUCUCAUCCUACAAACUCCCACGGAAGUAUGAUGUGCUCAUCAACUUCACUGGAGAAGACAUCAACAGAAAAUUUGUUUCUCAUCUCAAUUAUGCCUUCUCUACUGUUGGUCUCACCACUUUCCUUCAUCACCCCAAUGCAGUGAAGUCAACUCACAUUCAAGAACCUGUUCUCAGCCACUGUCGUGUAGUAAUUGUUGUUUUCACCCAAACCUAUUCUCAAUCUGCUUGGUGUCUUGAUCAGCUUCAACAAAUCAUCAAAUGGCACGAAACUUAUUGCCGACAUGUUCUGCCCGUAUAUUAUGAAAUCCAGCCAUCUGAUGUACGUCUUCAGAAGGGUAACUUUGGAAAAGCCUUGAAGGCAACUGCACAACAAACAUUUUCAGGUCAAGAACUGAAGCAUGGCAUGUCUAGGUGGAGCCAAGCAAUCACCAAAGCUGCAAAUCUCUUCGGAUGGGAUGAAAGCAAUCACAGGUACAUCACUCACUCAAUCAACAAUCUUUUAAGCCUCCGGUUUCAUUUUGUUAAUACAUGACUUCUUUUAUCAUUGCUCUUGAACUUCAAGGAGUGAUGCUGAAUUAGUGGAGAAAAUUGUUAAGAGCGUUGUUAAUUUGCCAGCCUUGUCUGUUACUAAAUUUCCAGUUGGAUUACAAUCCCACUUGGAAGAUCUGUUUCGAACUAUCAAAAAUAAAUCCACGGAAUUUUGUAUGAUCGAGAUAUGUGGAGAGGAAGGAUCUGGUAAAACAACUCUUGCCAAAGCGAUCUACAAUCAAAUUCAUUGGACGUUCAAGGAGAAAAGUUUCAUUGAAAAUAUUUCACAAGUUACCGGAACAAGAGGGUAUAUUCGUUUACUAGAACAACUUCUUUUAGAUGUCCUAAAACAAAAGGUGGAGAUUCCUAGCGUUGAUGUGGGAAAUAAAAUGAUUCGGGAACGACUUUAUGGAAAAAGGCUACUCAUUGUACUUGAUAAUGUGCUUCACAGCUAUGAACUUUUAGAAGUAUGGACAUAUAAUCAUUAUAGGUUCAGCAAAGGAACUGUAAUAAUAAUUACAACAAGCGAUGAAAACCUACUGAUGGGCCAGCCGACAUAUUCUAUGUUUCGGAUAGAGCGAAUGAACGCAGAGGAGUCCCUUGAGCUUUUUAGUUGGCACGCAUUUAGAGAACCAAAACCAAAGGAAGAAUACGAAGACCUUGCAAGAAGAGUAGUUAGUUAUUGUGGAGGACUACCACUAGUUCUUGAAAUCAUUGGAAGUAGUUUAUUUGAAAGGACGGAAGAAGAAUGGCAUCGUGUACUGUUUGCGAUAGAUGGCAGGCAUCGUGUUUCAGAGAUAAUAAAAGUAAGCAUCGAAGGUUCACUCAAUGAAAUGGAAAAAUAUAUAUUCGUUGAUGUAUGUUGUUUGUUUGUCGGUAAGAGCAGAGCCUAUGUUAGGAAGAUCCUAAAGGGCUGUGGAGUAGAUGCUGAUAUUGCAAUAAGAGUUCUCAUCCAGCGUAACCUCAUCAAAAUUGACAACAACAAAAAAUUUCGAGUGCAUCCUUUGCUACAAAAUAUCGGAGGACAAAUUAUUCAUGAAAAAGUAGUAGGAGAUUUUGAGAAGAACAGGCCACCGUCAAAAUAUGUAAGAACAUUCUUUACAUGUGGUUUGAAACUUCUUUUAAAAGCGUUUUCUUUCAGCUGUGCAGUACAACUUUUUUUUUUUUAUUUGCUUUUUUCAUCACAGGAGACAGAAGCCCUGCAGUGGUUGCCUGCGAAACUGCUCGCUGCCAUCGAAAGUGUGCAGCCGACUUUAAAUUCUCAGUACCUUUUUAAGAAACUAAGAUGGAUCAGUUCGUAUGGGCUUUCUUCAGAAUGUCUGCCUAACAACUUCUAUUGGGAUGAUGCAACAGUGAUUGAUUUGAAACGAAGUCUUCUUCAAUUUCUCUGGAAAACACCCCAGGUUUUAUUACCAGCCACUUCUCUUUAAAACACAACUUAAUUAAAAUAAAUUGGUAACUUGCUAUUAUUUCAUUUUUUAUUUCUACUCUAAUAUUUCUAAAAUGAAAAACUAUUUUGGAGCAGGUUUUGAGAUCGCUAAAAGUCCUUAACCUCAGUCACUCCACGGAUUUAACUACAACCCCUGACUUUACCGGAUUACCAAGUCUUGAACACCUCAUUUUGAAAUAUUGUUCUAGAUUGCGCAAACUACACCAAUCUAUUGGAUCACUCAACAGUCUUAUCCUACUAAAUUUGAAAUUCUGUACAAGUCUAAACAAUCUUCCAACAGAGAUAUAUGAGUUGAAAUCUUUAAGAACCUUCAUUCUCUCUGGUUGUUCCAAGAUUCACAUAAUGGAUAAAGAUAUAGCAAAGUUGGAAUCCUUGAUAACUCUAAUUGCUGAUACACCUGUCAAACAUGUGCCUUUUUCAAUUGUAAGCUCAAAAGGCAUUGGAUAUAUGUCCCUACUAGGAUUUGAGGGAUUAUCUUAUAAUCUUUUUCCUUCUAUCAUUCGGUCCUGGAUGUCCCCAACAAUGAAUUCCAUUUCUUAUAUUCAUUCGUUUUGCAUGGAUAUCGAGGAUAAUACGAUUGAUAUUGCACCAUUGCUUUGCACCCUUGCACAUAUUCGAAGUGUUUUGGUAGCAUGUGAAACCGAAUUUCAACUAUCUAAGCAAGUGACAAAUAUUUUGGUUGAAUAUUUUGCGAAUAUUACAGAAUUAGGAAUUUCAAAGCAGCACUUGAGGUGUUCUCUGAUUGGUGUUGGAGCAUACCAUCAAUUCUUAAAUGCUAUCAGUGAUAACAUAUAUGAGGUUCUUCUCUAUCUUCGUAUCUCUUUCUUACCUUCACUAUCAUUAUAGCUAUUAAUCAAGAGAACAUAAAAUACUCCUAAUGAAAUAUCUGACUGAAACUACAAUAUUCAAUUUUAGCACACUUAAUUUCUAUUGCCAUAGAACCUCAUCUAAAGGUUUCUUAUUUUGGUAAUCAACUAAUCAAGUGAUUUUGCUUUUAUUUCAAUACUUUCUUACCUUAUUGUACUGGCUUCACGAUUGUUAUAUUUCCAAUCGUCGAAGAGAUAUUCUAAUAGAGACAAAAACAUAAAUGCUUUGUAAAUCACUAACGAAGUAAUGAUGAUACAUACAGAACAAAACUAUUAAUCAGAUUUGUUUAGAUGAAUUACCAUUGGUAUGUUUUGAUUAUGUACUGCAUUGUUGUUUGUUUGAUUAUAAGUGCCUACUUUGUAAUUAUUAACGUUAAAAUAAUUAUUAUAGAAGACAUUUUGAAUAAAAAAAAUUAAAUAAAUGACCAAACCUUUUAUGUUAUGGUGCAGCUAUUGGGAAGUAGUGAGUCUGGAGAUGUUUGUCUCCCAACUGUGAAUGAUCCUUAUUGUAUGGCCCAUAUGGGUGAGGGACACUCUGUUUCUUUCACUGUGCCUGAAGAUCGUGACAUGAAAGGAAUGGCUUUGUGUGUUGUUUAUUUAUCAAAUCCUAAAAUCAUUGAACCUGAAUUUACUACUGUCAUAAUUGUUAAUUACACAAAGUGUACAUUCCAGAUACACCACCAUGGCACAGUAAUUUCUUUUAGAGAUGAAGAUUGGCAUGACAUAAUGUCAAAUUUAGAAUCUGGAGACAAUGUGGAAAUUUUUGUGAAUUUCGGUAAUGGAUUGGUGGUAAAGAACACAACAGUGUAUCUGAUAUGGGGUGAAGCAGAGAACAUGGAAAAAGCGUCUGAGCCAAAAAAACAUUCUCUCAUUAGAUUCGUAAAGAAAGUUGUAAUGUGACUUCUGAUAAGUCAUUUAUUUAUGUUCUUUGAGAACAGCAUGAUCACUUUGGUAAUGGAAAUAAUCCUACUGUUCGUGAUUGCUAUUUAUAUUUUCCCAUCC